CUAUCUUCAUCCCCUGUCCUGCUGUGAAGUGCUUGUCUUGACUGAGGGAUGAGGACCCUGGAAGAGCAAAGGGCUCUAAACAGAUGACCUUCUAUAAAACCCUUCUACUUAUACAGAGAAUAAAUGCAAAACGCCACGCACCACAGUGUGUGUGUGUGCGUCUGCAGCCUUCAUGGUAAGCUCACCCCACUGUUUACAGUACCAGUUGUGGGUGUGUGUAGGUGUGUGUAGGUGUGUGUAGUCACCCCACUGUUUACAGUACCAGUUGUGGGUGUGUGUAGGUGUGUGUAGGUGUGUGUAGUCACCCCACUGUUUACAGUACCAGUUGUGGGUGUGUGUAGGUGUGUGUAGUCACCCCACUGUUUACAGUACCAGCCGUGGGUGUGUGUAGGUGUGUGUAGGUGUGUGUAGUCACCCCACUGUUUACAGUACCAGCCGUGGGUGUGUGUAGGUGUGUGUAGUCACCCCACUGUUUACAGUACCAGCCGUGGGUGUCAGUGGUUGUGGAGGUGGUUAAUGUCAGUCACCUUCGUAUUAACAUCGCUGGUCGCUGAUUGUUCUAAACUGGUCAUUUCUAAGGUUGACUGUUGAUGUGGAAAUCACAUUAGAGGUCAUCUUCUGUAGCUCAGUUGGUAGAGCAUGGCGCUUGUAACGCCAGGGUAGUGGGUUCGAUUCCCGGGACCACCCAUACGUAGAAUGUAUGCACACAUGACUGUAAGUCGCUUUGGAUAAAAGCGUCUGCUAAAUGGCAUAUAUUAUUAUUAUUAUAUUAUU